AAAAGCUGACAAGGGCACACGGAGGAUGCCUAGGCAACAGCAGCCGAUGAAGGACGUGAUAAGCUGCGAUAAGCCGGGAGGAGAUGCACAUAAUCGUUGAUCCCCGGAUCUCCGAAUGGGAAAACCUGCAUGCCUGGAGGGCAUGCGUGAAAACGGUAAGCCUGCGAACUGAAACAUCUAAGUAGCAGGAGGAAAAGAAAGUAAAAACGAUUCCCUGAGUAGCGGCGAGCGAACGGGGAAAAGCCUAAACCGUGCCAGUGCCAAGCGGACAGCGUUGCUGGCACGGGGUUGCGGGACUUCCAUUAACGGAUUGUCAUAAUGUUUAAGCUGUAUGCAUGUAAGUGGAACCAGCUGGGAAGCUGGACCAAAGAAGGUGAUAGUCCUGUAGAACAUAAAAUGCAUAUGGCGACUGGAAGCACCCGAGUAGCGUCAGGCACGAGGAAUCUGGCGUGAAUCAGCGUGGACCAUAUCACGCAAGGCUAAAUACUGCUGUUGACCGAUAGUGAAGAGUACCGUGAGGGAAAGGUGAAAAGAACCCUGAGCAAGGGAGUGAAACAGAAUUUGAAACCGUGUGCUUACAAACGGUAGGAGCACUUUAUGUGUGACUGCGUGGAUUUUGGUUAAUCAUCCUGCGAGUUAUGAUCAGUGGCAAGGCUAAUUAAUGAAGCCGAAGGGAAACCGAGUCUUAACAGGGCGGCUAAGUCGCUGGUCAUAGACGCGAAACCUAGUGAUCUAGGCCUGUCCAGGCUGAAGCUGAGGUAAGACUCAGUGGAGGGCCGAACUCACCGCCGUUGAAAAGUUGGGAGAUGAGAUAGGUCUAGGGGUGAAAAGCCAAUCGAACUAGGAGAUAGCUCGUUCUCUCCGAAAUGCAUUUAGGUGCAGCCUUGAACUGAGAUAUGUGGGGGUAGAGCUCUGUAUGAUCUAGGGGGCGUACUGCUUACCGAAAUCAAGCAAACUUCGAAUACCAUAUAUUAAUAGUCAGGAGUGAGUCCGUGGAUGACAAGGUCCGCGGACGAGAGGGGAACAGCCCAGACCGCCAGCUAAGGUCCCUAAUUAUGUCUAAGUGGGAAAGGAGGUGGAUAUUCACAGACAACCAGGAGGUUGGCUUAGAAGCAGCCAUGCCUUGAAAGAGUGCGUAAUAGCUCACUGGUCGAGAGUAUCUGCGCCGAAGAUGUAACGGGGCUAAGACAUAAACCGAAGCUGCGGAGGCGUGCCUGCACGCCUGGUAGGAGAGCGUUCUGUAGGCCGUUGAAGGAAUGCCGCAAGGCCGUUCUGGAGGUAUCAGAAGUGAGAAUGCAGGAAUGAGUAGCGAGAAGGCGGGCGAGAAUCCCGCCGGCCGGAAGUCCAAGGUUUCCAGGGGAAGGUUUGUCCGCCCUGGGGAAGUCGGGACCUAAGCAUAAGCAAAAAUGUGAUGGCGAAUGGAAAACAGGUUAAUAUUCCUGUACCGCUGUUAUCGCCUGAGAGACGGAGUGACGCAGGAAGGUAUGCGGGAAGGCUGACGGAAUAGCCUUUCUAAGGGCGUAGCAUGGGCAUGCAGGAAAAUCCGCAUGCCUAAAUGUGAGACCUGACGGGUAAGUGCAUCUUGCAUAAGCCGCAGAUCCUACACUGCCGAGAAAAACUUCUAUCGAUGAGAACCAGCGCCCGUACUGUAAACCGACACAGGUGGACAGAGUGAGAAACUUAAGGCCGACAGGAUAACUCUAGCUAAGGAACUCUGCAAAAUAGCCCCGUAACUUCGGGAGAAGGGGUGCCUGACAUACCUGAGAGGAGAAACGCCUCAAGGGGAAACAGGCCGCAGUGAAGAGUCCCAAGCAACUGUUUACCAAAAACACAGGUCUAUGCUAAGCUGAAAGGCGACGUAUAUGGGCUGACACCUGCCCAGUGCCGGAAGGUUAAGAGGAGGAGUGAGAGCUCCGAUUUGAAGCCCCGGUGAACGGCGGCCGUAACUAUAACGGUCCUAAGGUAGCGAAAUUCCUUGUCGGGUAAG
rnacentral:rRNA from 1 species